UGCCAUGUCAUCACCAGCUGCCAAAUGC
rnacentral:piRNA from 1 species